GGACGAACGCUGGCGGCGUGCCUAAUACAUGCAAGUCGAACGGUCUUUCUAUGGAAGCUUGCUUCCACUGAAAAGAUAGUGGCGAACGGGUGAGUAACACGUGGGUAACCUGCCCAUAAGAGGGGGGAUAACAUCCGGAAACGGGUGCUAAUACCGCAUAGUUUUCUUGAUCGCAUGAUCGGGAAAGGAAAGACGGCCUUUGUGCUGUCGCUUAUGGAUGGACCCGCGGCGUAUUAGUUAGUUGGUGAGGUAACGGCUCACCAAGACGAUGAUACGUAGCCGACCUGAGAGGGUGAUCGGCCACAUUGGGACUGAGACACGGCCCAAACUCCUACGGGAGGCAGCAGUAGGGAAUCUUCCGCAAUGGACGAAAGUCUGACGGAGCAACGCCGCGUGAGUGAAGGAGGUUUUUCCGGAUCGUAAAACUCUGUUGUCAGAGAAGAACAAGUUGGAGAGUAACUGCUCCAGCCUUGACGGUAUCUGACCAGAAAGCCACGGCUAACUACGUGCCAGCAGCAGC
rnacentral:rRNA from 1 species